UGGGGAAUUUUGGACAAUGGGCGCAAGCCUGGUCCAGCAAUGCCGCGUGCAGGAUGAAGGCCUUCGGGUUGUAAACUGCUUUUGUACGGAACGAAAAAGCUCUCUCUAAUACAGGGGGUGAAUGACGGUACCGUAAGAAUAAGCACCGGCUAACUACGUGCCAGCAGCCGCGGUAAUACGUAGGGUGCAAGCGUUAAUCGGAAUUACUGGGCGUAAAGCGUGCGCAGGCGGUUUUGUAAGACAGAGGUGAAAUCCCCGGGCUCAACCUGGGAACUGCCUUUGUGACUGCAAAGCUGGAGUGCGGCAGAGGGCGAUGGAAUUCCGCGUGUAGCAGUGAAAUGCGUAGAUAUGCGGAGGAACACCGAUGGCGAAGGCAAUCCCCUGGGCCUGCACUGACGCUCAUGCACGAAAGCGUGGGGAGCAAACA
rnacentral:rRNA from 1 species